AGGCACUACGGUGCUGAAGCAACCAAUGCCCUGCUUCCAGGAAAAGCAUCUAAGCCUCAGGUAACAUCAAAUCGUACCACACACCGACACAGGUGGCCAGGCAGAGAAUACCCAGGCGCUUGAGAGAACUCGGGUGUAGGAACUAGGCAAAAUCGCGCCGUAACUUCGGGAGAAGGCAAGCUGACACGUAGGUGAAGUGAUU
rnacentral:rRNA from 1 species